rnacentral:rRNA from 1 species
UGAGGAAUCUUCCGCAAUGGGCGCAAGCCUGACGGAGCGACGCCGCGUGAAGGAUGAAGGCCCUUACGGGUCGUAAACUUCUGUUCUGAGGGACGAAAUUUUUGACGGUACCUCAGGAGAAAGUAUCGGCAAACCCUGUGCCAGCAGCCGCGGUAAGACAGGGGAUACAAGCGUUACUCGGAAUUACUGGGCGUAAAGCGUCUGUAGGUGCUUUGGUAAGUCUGUGGUAAAAGCUCGGGGCUCAACCCCGAGAGCGUCAUGGAAACUACCGAAGUUGAGCAGUAGAGAGGCAUCUGGAAUGCCGCAUGUAGGAGUAAAAUCCGUAGAUAUGCGGUAGAACGCCAAAAGCGUAGGCAGGAUGCUAGCUACUUGCUGACACUGAGAGACGAAAGCGUGGGGAGCGAAGCGGAUUAGAUACCCGGGUAGUCCCUGAGCGGGCUGGCAAGGCGCAU